ACGUGAUCUGAGUUCAGACCGGAGUAAUCCAGGUCAGUUUCUAUCUAUUAAAGGGCUUUUUCUAGUACGAAAGGACCGAAAAAGCAUGGCCAAUAGUUAACCAAGCCAUAUAAACAUCUUAUGCCCCCAACUCAAUAAGGAAUUAACCUACCACCUGACUCAAUAAAAGAGU
rnacentral:rRNA from 1 species